UACAGAGGUGGCAAGCGUUGUUCGGAAUUACUGGGCGUAAAGGGCGCGUAGGCGGUUCGCCAAGUCCCGUGUGAAAGCCCCCGGCUCAACCGGGGAACGGCGCGGGAAACUAGCGGGCUAGAGUUCGGGAGAGGGAAGCGGAAUUCCGGGUGUAGCGGUGAAAUGCGCAGAUAUCCGGAGGAACACCGGUGGCGAAGGCGGCUUCCUGGACCGACACUGACGCUGAGGCGCGAAAGCGUGGGGAGCAAACAGG
rnacentral:rRNA from 1 species